CCAGCCCAAGUUUCGGCCGUUUUUUAAAAAAUUGGAACAAUACGAUAAGAUUAGCAUGGCCCUGGAAAGGAUGACCCGAAUAAAUCGAAAAUUUUUUUUCCUUUUU